rnacentral:rRNA from 1 species
AUGAACGCUAGCUACAGGCUUAACACAUGCAAGUCGAGGGGAAACGACAUCGAAAGCUUGCUUUUGAUAGGCGUCGACCGGCGCACGGGUGAGUAACGCGUAUCCAACCUGCCCACCACUUGGGGAUAACCUUGCGAAAGUAAGACUAAUACCCAAUGAUAUCUCUAGAAGACAUCUGAAAGAGAUUAAAGAUUUAUCGGUGAUGGAUGGGGAUGCGUCUGAUUAGCUUGUUGGCGGGGUAACGGCCCACCAAGGCAACGAUCAGUAGGGGUUCUGAGAGGAAGGUCCCCCACAUUGGAACUGAGACACGGUCCAAACUCCUACGGGAGGCAGCAGUGAGGAAUAUUGGUCAAUGGACGAGAGUCUGAACCAGCCAAGUAGCGUGCAGGAUGACGGCCCUAUGGGUUGUAAACUGCUUUUAUAAGGGAAUAAAGUGAGUCUCGUGAGACUUUUUGCAUGUACCUUAUGAAUAAGGACCGGCUAAUUCCGUGCCAGCAGCCGCGGUAAUACGGAAGGUCCGGGCGUUAUCCGGAUUUAUUGGGUUUAAAGGGAGCGUAGGCCGGAGAUUAAGCGUGUUGUGAAAUGUAGACGCUCAACGUCUGCACUGCAGCGCGAACUGGUUUCCUUGAGUACGCACAAAGUGGGCGGAAUUCGUGGUGUAGCGGUGAAAUGCUUAGAUAUCACGAAGAACUCCGAUUGCGAAGGCAGCUCACUGGAGCGCAACUGACGCUGAAGCUCGAAAGUGCGGGUAUCGAACAGGAUUAGAUACCCUGGUAGUCCGCACGGUAAACGAUGGAUGCCCGCUGUUGGUCUGAAUAGGUCAGCGGCCAAGCGAAAGCAUUAAGCAUCCCACCUGGGGAGUACGCCGGCAACGGUGAAACUCAAAGGAAUUGACGGGGGCCCGCACAAGCGGAGGAACAUGUGGUUUAAUUCGAUGAUACGCGAGGAACCUUACCAAGUCUUGACAUCCUUCUGACCGGACAGUAAUGUGUCCUUUCCUUCGGGACAGAAGAGACAGGUGGUGCAUGGUUGUCGUCAGCUCGUGCCGUGAGGUGUCGGCUUAAGUGCCAUAACGAGCGCAACCCCUCUCCUUAGUUGCCAUCAGGUCAAGCUGGGCACUCUGGGGACACUGCCACCGUAAGGUGUGAGGAAGGUGGGGAUGACGUCAAAUCAGCACGGCCCUUACGUCCGGGGCUACACACGUGUUACAAUGGCAGGUACAGAGAGAUGGUGUUCUGCAAAGCGCAUCUAAUCCUUAAAGCCUGUCUCAGUUCGGACUGGGGUCUGCAACCCGACCCCACGAAGCUGGAUUCGCUAGUAAUCGCGCAUCAGCCAUGGCGCGGUGAAUACGUUCCCGGGCCUUGUACACACCGCCCGUCAAGCCAUGAAAGCCGGGGGCGCCUAAAGUCCGUGACCGUAAGGAGCGGCCUAGGGCGAAACUGGUAAUUGGGGCU